GACGAACGCUGGCGGCGUGCCUAACACAUGCAAGUCGAACGGACGAAGGAGCUUUGGCUCCCUAGUUAGUGGCGAACGGGUGAGUAACGCGUGAGCAACCUGCCUUUCAGAGGGGGACAACAGCUGGAAACGGCUGCUAAUACCGCAUAACAUGAUCUAGUCGCAUGACUGGAUCAUCAAAGAUUUAUCGCUGAAAGAUGGGCUCGCGUCUGAUUAGCUAGUUGGUGGGGUAAAGGCCCACCAAGGCGACGAUCAGUAGCCGGACUGAGAGGUUGAACGGCCACAUUGGGACUGAGAUACGGCCCAGACUCCUACGGGAGGCAGCAGUGGGGAAUAUUGGGCAAUGGGGGCAACCCUGACCCAGCAACGCCGCGUGAAGGAAGAAGGCUUUCGGGUUGUAAACUUCUUUUACCAGGGACGAAGGACG
rnacentral:rRNA from 1 species